AAACCAUGAUUUGGGCUCUUACUGCAAAUAAUCCUUGAAUCUCUCCCAUGCUUCAUAUAAUUGUUCCCGGUCAUCGCUUAAACUCAUAAAUCUUGUCACGAAUUU